GGCAGUGUGGCGGAGUGGUUAACGCGUGAGACUUGAAUAUCUGUGUACAAUUCGCAUCAGAUCUAGUAAUCUCAUACCCUCGGGUGCCUGGGUUCGAAUCCCAGCGCUGUCG
rfam:Aspergillus aculeatus ATCC 16872 unplaced genomic scaffold ASPACscaffold_8, whole genome shotgun sequence.